UGCCUAAUACAUGCAAGUCGAACGAGUUCUGAUUAUUGAAAGGUGCUUGCAUCUUGAUUUAAUUUUGAACGAGUGGCGGACGGGUGAGUAACACGUGGGUAACCUGCCCUUAAGUGGGGGAUAACAUUUGGAAACAGAUGCUAAUACCGCAUAAAUCCAAGAACCGCAUGGUUCUUGGCUGAAAGAUGGCGUAAGCUAUCGCUUUUGGAUGGACCCGCGGCGUAUUAGCUAGUUGGUGAGGUAACGGCUCACCAAGGCAAUGAUACGUAGCCGAACUGAGAGGUUGAUCGGCCACAUUGGGACUGAGACACGGCCCAAACUCCUACGGGAGGCAGCAGUAGGGAAUCUUCCACAAUGGACGCAAGUCUGAUGGAGCAACGCCGCGUGAGUGAAGAAGGCUUUCGGGUCGUAAAACUCUGUUGUUGGAGAAGAAUGGUCGGCAGAGUAACUGUUGUCGGCGUGACGGUAUCCAACCAGAAAGCCACGGCUAACUACGUGCCAGCAGCCGCGGUAAUACGUAGGUGGCAAGCGUUAUCCGGAUUUAUUGGGCGUAAAGCGAGCGCAGGCGGUUUUUUAAGUCUGAUGUGAAAGCCCCUCGGCUUAACCGAGGAAGUGCAUCGGAAACUGGGAAACUUGAGUGCAGAAGAGGACAGUGGAACUCCAUGUGUAGCGGUGAAAUGCGUAGAUAUAUGGAAGAACACCAGUGGCGAAGGCGGCUGUCUGGUCUGUAACUGACGCUGAGGCUCGAAAGCAUGGGUAGCGAACAGGAUUAGAUACCCUGGUAGUCCAUGCCGUAAACGAUGAAUGCUAGGUGUUGGAGGGUUUCCGCCCUUCAGUGCCGCAGCUAACGCAUUAAGCAUUCCGCCUGGGGAGUACGACCGCAAGGUUGAAACUCAAAGGAAUUGACGGGGGCCCGCACAAGCGGUGGAGCAUGUGGUUUAAUUCGAAGCAACGCGAAGAACCUUACCAGGUCUUGACAUCUUUUGAUCACCUGAGAGAUCAGGUUUCCCCUUCGGGGGCAAAAUGACAGGUGGUGCAUGGUUGUCGUCAGCUCGUGUCGUGAGAUGUUGGGUUAAGUCCCGCAACGAGCGCAACCCUUAUGACUAGUUGCCAGCAUUUAGUUGGGCACUCUAGUAAGACUGCCGGUGACAAACCGGAGGAAGGUGGGGAUGACGUCAAAUCAUCAUGCCCCUUAUGACCUGGGCUACACACGUGCUACAAUGGAUGGUACAACGAGUUGCGAGACCGCGAGGUCAAGCUAAUCUCUUAAAGCCAUUCUCAGUUCGGACUGUAGGCUGCAACUCGCCUACACGAAGUCGGAAUCGCUAGUAAUCGCGGAUCAGCACGCCGCGGUGAAUACGUUCCCGGGCCUUGUACACACCGCCCGUCACACCAUGAGAGUUUGUAACACCCGAAGCCGGUGGCGUAACCCUUUUAGGGAGCGAGCCGUCUAAGGUGGGACAAAUGAUUAGGGUGAAGUCGA
rnacentral:rRNA from 1 species